rnacentral:sRNA from 1 species
UAGGGUACUCACUUUUAACUGCUUGAGCCGACCCCUGUCCAAAGUGGGGUAUUUAGUUGCACAACCAAAAUGCAUUCUAACAUGUCAUGAAAUCAACAGUGAUUCCUCAGUCACGAUCACAUACUCAGUCCGAAUUGAAACCUUUCUUACAGGUCCCCAAAUAUCUACCCUCGGUAGGUGUGUCUGGCUCGGGGUUCAGUGUUCCUCACGGUGCAUUCCACUGGGCUUUGUACUACAAGUUCUUGCAGGAAACCUGUCUCUCAUCUCUCUUUUAUUCAGAAAUAUGAAAGCGGUUGGACCUCUUUCGGUAAGUCUUGUAAAAUGUGGAAGCAAUUAGUCCAAGCAGCUAUGGCCUUUUGAAGAUCAAUAGAUGUUCGAACUUCAUUUUUCUCACUGCGAGAAGCCAUUCUCCUAGCCAAGGAGAGUCUCUGCGGUCUUCAUACAAGUCUCCUUUUCCUCUAUUUUUAGAAACCCGUGUGCAGGCUGCCACUACCACUUUCGCACAUCUCUCUCCACAGCCGUGAGGGAAUUCUGUCUUCUAAAGAGAAAAUUCGUAGUUUAGAAUUUUAUUUCUUCUACUCAUCUCAGAAUCUUGGCAUGGAUCCCAUGGGCGACACGUUCUAAAGUUACAAAGCCAUACCUGCGGCAGAGCGGGGGGAGCCCGGAAAGAAAACCACCAUAAGGGCCUGAUGCGGAAAUCCUCCUCUUCUCAGGGAGGGAAACCUGGAGAAAGGGUUUGCAGCUUAAGUUCCCUUCACCCGAAAGAACAGCUACAGAGGUGAAGGAUGCCGGUGAACCUGCAGGGCUGAUGAGAGUAUUUCCAGAACAUCAGGAUGAAGCAUGAACAGACACUCACUUUUAAGCCUCUGCUCUGUGGGGCUUUGAGAACUUCGCCUUACUUCCCGAAGCCACCGAAGAAGGACAAACGUGCGUGGGAUUGCAUACAAAUGUGGGCAAUAUCAAAGCGGAAGUCUGUGAGAGGGUGCUCAGAACGUGCGAGAAUUGGUCGGGCUCUUUAUACCAGUAAUUACGAUAAUAGCUUUCUAUGUCCUAGAGGUUCCGAGGGUUUCGUGGUUCAAACAGGAGAUCCCCUCGGGUCCUGGAAGAGGAAGUGACAUCAUCUUGAGUGGGAGGGCAAACAGUGUCUGAAUCACUGUGUGGCCCCCCAACCAAUGUGUCAGUCCUUCAUGCUAUGGAAAGCAAUGAUAUUUGGAUAUGAAAUACACCAUAUUGGCCAAGGUACUGCUUGUCUCCAGCUUUGAAACACCCAGCAGAGCAACUUAAAGAAGGAAGAACUCAGUUCUGCCCACAGUUUGGAGGUAUGUCCCACCAUGGUGGGGAAGAUGGAGUAACAGUGGCUCGGGCUGUGGCAGCAGGAGCAUCCAGCCAUCACACUGCACCCAGAGUCAGGAAGCAGGGAGAGACAAACGCUGGCUCUCACCUCACUUGACCCUUUCGAUACGGACUAAAUUUGCAUAUUAUUGUCCAGUCAAUUCUGCUGGCCUGCCCUCGGCCCAGCAAUUGCUUGUCACUACCUGCGGCCAACACCAGGUGCACCCUGAUGUGUUCCUGGCUGAUCUCUCUCUCCCCUUUUCUGUCCUUCUCUGUCCCACCGCCCCCUUCUCUGCCCUCAUGGCUUUACUCCCAUUUGUCUGCCUGUCUACCUGGCUCACUUGAUGCCUUUACUCCUCUCCCUUCCCCCAAUAAACCUCCUUUAU